GGGACAACAGCUAGAAAUGGCUGCUAAUACCGCAUAAGCCUACAGCCUCGCAUGAGGGAGUAGGAAAAGAAAUUCGGUGCAGGAUGAGUCCGCGUCUGAUUAGCUAGUUGGAGGGGUAAAAGCCCACCAAGGCAACGAUCAGUAGCCGGCCUGAGAGGGCGACCGGCCACAUUGGGACUGAGACACGGCCCAAACUCCUACGGGAGGCAGCAGUGGGGAAUAUUGCACAAUGGGGGAAACCCUGAUGCAGCGACGCCGCGUGAGCGAGGAAGUAUUUCGGUAUGUAAAGCUCUAUCAGCAGGGACGAAAAAAGACGGUACCUGACUAAGAAGCCCCGGCUAACUACGUGCCAGCAGCCGCGGUAAUACGUAGGGGGCAAGCGUUAUCCGGAUUUACUGGGUGUAAAGGGAGCGUAGACGGCAAGGCAAGCCAGAAGUGAAAGGGCAGGGCUCAACCCUGUACAUGCUUUUGGAACUGUGGUGCUAGAGUGCAGGAGAGGUAAGUGGAAUUCCUAGUGUAGCGGUGAAAUGCGUAGAUAUUAGGAGGAACACCAGUGGCGAAGGCGGCUUACUGGACUGUAACUGACGUUGAGGCUCGAAAGCGUGGGGAGCAAACAGGAUUAGAUACCCUGGUAGUCCACGC
rnacentral:rRNA from 1 species